GUGCCUGUAGCUCAGUGGCUAGAGCGCUGGCCUCAUGCACCAGGGUUGGUGGGUUCAAACCCAGCCUGGGACU
rnacentral:tRNA from 1 species